UCUGUCUGUCCGGCGUAAACAUGUCGCACCGUAACUUGAGAACGACUUAUCCAAAUUUCAUGAAACUUAACAUAGUUGUUACUUAUGAUGGUCAAAUGAUCUGUAUACUUUUUGGUGAAAAUAAGAUUAAAACUUUUCGAGUUACGGCACUUUGUAACUAAAACAGGGGUGUGUUUUUUUUCACAUGUCGCACCGUAUCUCAAAAACGAUUCUUGAUUAUGGCUUAAAACUUUAAACACUUCUUAGUUAUAUUAAUCUUAAUAUCUGUAUACUUUUUGGUGAUGAUUCAAAAUUUCAUUUUUGAGUUAUUGAGUAUUUUGUAAAAAAGGGGGAGGGUUUUUUUACAUGUCGCACCAUAUCUCAAAAACGAUUUAUGAUUAUUGCUUAAAACUUUACACAAGUCUUUGUUAUAUUAAUCUGAAGAUCUGUAUACUUUUUGGUGAUGAUUCAAAAUUUCAUUUUUGAGUUAUUGAGUAUUUUGUAAAAAAAGGGGGAGGGUUUUUUUUACAUGUUGUGCCGUAUCUCAAAAACAAUUUAUGAUUAUUGCUUAAAACUUUACACACUUCUUUGUUAUAUUAAUCUAAAGAUCUGUAUACUUUUUGGUGAUGAUUCAAAACGUUAUUUUGGAGUUAUUGAGUAUUUUGUUAAAUAGGGGAGGUUUUUUUUUACAUGUUGCGCCGUAUCUCAAAAAUAAUUUAUGAUUAUUGCUUAAAACUUUACACACUUCUUUGUUAUAUUAAUCUAAAGAUCUGUAUACUUUUUGGUUUUGAUUCAAAAUUUUAUUUUAGUGAUAUUUAGUUUUUUGUAAAAAAAAAAAACAGGGUUGGGGGUUUCACAUGUCCCGCCGUGUCUCAAAAACAGUAUAUGGUUAUUGCUUAAAACUUUCUCAGAAACUAUUUAUGAUUAUUGCAUAAAACUUCCACACAAGACGUCGGGCGUAUCAUGCGCUCAUGGCGCAGCUGUUUAUUUCAAUUUAAGUUCAAAAGUGCAUUUUAGUGUUUAGUGUAGCAACCAUUUCUCUGAACUAUUAUUCAUUAUUGUUUAGUGACCAAAAGAGGCCCACCUCUAUGUGCGGAAUUUUCUUUCUGCAUAGAGGACUCAUCAUUUUGAACUCAUCAGGGUUCCUGUACUCAACCGACUUGUUGGGUACUGAGACAUGACUGUGACACCAUCUGAACAAAAACUGUGAAUAAAAUCAGAAGCAAUUUUAAAACAACACAUGGUGUUGGGGCUAAGAAUACCACCA
rnacentral:lncRNA from 1 species